rnacentral:rRNA from 1 species
UACAGAGGAUGCAAGCGUUAUCCGGAAUCACUGGGCGUAAAGCGUCUGUAGGUGGUUUAAAAAGUCCACUGUUAAAAAUUGAAGCUUAACUUCAAAGAUGCCGUGGAAACUUUUAAACUUGAGUAUGAUAGGGGUAGAGGGAAUUUCCAGUGGAGCGGUGAAAUGCGUAGAUAUUGGAAAGACCACCAAUGGCGAAGGCACUCUACUGGGCCAUUACUGACACUGAGAGACGAAAGCUAGGGGAGCGAAUGGG